UGGGGAAUUUUGGACAAUGGGCGAAAGCCUGAUCCAGCCAUGCCGCGUGCAGGAUGAAGGCCUUCGGGUUGUAAACUGCUUUUGUACGGAACGAAAAGACUCCUUCUAAUAAAGGGGGUCCAUGACGGUACCGUAAGAAUAAGCACCGGCUAACUACGUGC
rnacentral:rRNA from 1 species